UGUGCACAACGUGAAUGUUAAUCAGAUAUUAAAUUUGGAAUACCCUAAAUUCAAAUCCUAGACCCAAACCCUAAAUCGAACUCCGAAACUUAGCCGCUAUAGGUUUGGGUUUAAGGUUCACAGUUUGGAUUUAGGGUCUAGAAUUUACGUUUAGGGUAUAGGGUUUGGGAUUAGAGUUUACGGUUUAUGGUGUAGGAUUUGUUUUACGGUAUACAGUUUGGGUUUACGAUCUAGGAUUUAAGUUUAUGUCAUAUGAUUUGGGUUUAGGGUUUACAGUUUGGGUUUAUGGUCUACAAUUUAGGUUUAAGGUUAUACGGUUUGGGUUUAGGGUCUAGUAUUUGGGUUUAGAGUUUAAGAUUUGGGAGGGUUUGAGUUUAAAGUUUACGGUUUGGGUUUAUGGUCUAGGAUUUAAAUUUAGGAUUUAGGGUUUAGGGUUUAGGUUUAGAGUUUACGGUUUGGGUUUAUGGUGUAAGAUUUGAGUUUACGGUAUACGGUUUGGGUUUUGGGUCUAGGAUUUUGAUUUAGAGUAUAUGAUUUUGGUUUAUAUACUGUUUGGAUUUAUGGUCUAGAAUUUAUGUUUAAGGUUAUACGGGUUGGGUUAGGGUGUAGUAAUGGGAUUUAGGGUAUACGAUUUGGGUUUAUGGUCCGAGUAAUAUAUUAUAGUGCAUUUAAUGUUAUUUAGCAUCUCAAUUAGUUCAUUUUAAUCACUUUAGAUUGCAUCUAGGUGUCUACAUUGCAUAUAUUUGUCCAUUUAUGUGCAUAAGGGUUUGGAGAGUCCAAUUAAAAGUUUUAGGCGAUGUUAGAAGGUUAUUUCUGCAAAUCAGAAACAGUUGGGGCCAAGACGAAAUAAGAAGAAAAUACAGGGAUCAAUGAUGCAAAAGACAGACUACACGCGGGUCUAUAUUGUCACAAUUAAAAGCUAAGGGGCUAAAUUAAGGAUGUUUCUGCGCUUUAGAAAAUCAUGGGCCGUCUUGUAAAGAAGUAGAAGUUAAGGGACCUGUCUGGAAAAUAUUCUAAAAUCCACCAAUGAAAACAAUGAGCUUUCUCUUUGUGUAAUCUGAGGCUGAUUCUGACGAUGGCGAUGGCGGAGACCACGGCUUGGAGAUGAGAGCAUGGCGCAGAGGAAGAAGCGACAUCAAUAGCUGAAAUCUAUCACACCAAUUCGUGACGCCGAGAAUGGAGCCGCGACGAAGACUUGACGCCAUGGAAAAACAUGUGGGUGUCAUGAAAAGACAAAAUAACCGGCAACGGGUAAAUCAAAUAGUUUCCAACCUCAACUAGAGGUUACUCAUGCUCAAAAACAAAGGAAGAGAGAAGAAGAUGACAAUAAUAAUGGAGUUUUGACAAAUUUAUUGCACUUUCUAACAUAAAGAUUUGCGUGAACUAGAUAGCUAUAGAAUCUUCAUUAAUAUUUUCUGGUCAGCGGGUAGAACGGUCAAGUCUAUUUGCAUAUCUAGUUAUAGGGUUAUUACCACCAUUUAGAAAGUACAACAGUAGCAUA